AGAGUUUGAUCAUGGCUCAGAUUGAACGCUGGCGGCAGGCCUAACACAUGCAAGUCGAACGGUAACAGGAAGAAGCUUGCUUCUUUGCUGACGAGUGGCGGACGGGUGAGUAAUGUCUGGGAAACUGCCUGAUGGAGGGGGAUAACUACUGGAAACGGUAGCUAAUACCGCAUAACGUCGCAAGACCAAAGAGGGGGACCUUCGGGCCUCUUGCCAUCGGAUGUGCCCAGAUGGGAUUAGCUAGUAGGUGGGGUAACGGCUCACCUAGGCGACGAUCCCUAGCUGGUCUGAGAGGAUGACCAGCCACACUGGAACUGAGACACGGUCCAGACUCCUACGGGAGGCAGCAGUGGGGAAUAUUGCACAAUGGGCGCAAGCCUGAUGCAGCCAUGCCGCGUGUAUGAAGAAGGCCUUCGGGUUGUAAAGUACUUUCAGCGGGGAGGAAGGGAGUAAAGUUAAUACCUUUGCUCAUUGACGUUACCCGCAGAAGAAGCACCGGCUAACUCCGUGCCAGCAGCCGCGGUAAUACGGAGGGUGCAAGCGUUAAUCGGAAUUACUGGGCGUAAAGCGCACGCAGGCGGUUUGUUAAGUCAGAUGUGAAAUCCCCGGGCUCAACCUGGGAACUGCAUCUGAUACUGGCAAGCUUGAGUCUCGUAGAGGGGGGUAGAAUUCCAGGUGUAGCGGUGAAAUGCGUAGAGAUCUGGAGGAAUACCGGUGGCGAAGGCGGCCCCCUGGACGAAGACUGACGCUCAGGUGCGAAAGCGUGGGGAGCAAACGGGAUUAGAUACCCUGGUAGUCCACGCCGUAAACGAUGUCGACUUGGAGGUUGUGCCCUUGAGGCGUGGCUUCCGGAGCUAACGCGUUAAGUCGACCGCCUGGGGAGUACGGCCGCAAGGUUAAAACUCAAAUGAAUUGACGGGGGCCCGCACAAGCGGUGGAGCAUGUGGUUUAAUUCGAUGCAACGCGAAGAACCUUACCUGGUCUUGACAUCCACGGAAGUUUUCAGAGAUGAGAAUGUGCCUUCGGGAACCGUGAGACAGGUGCUGCAUGGCUGUCGUCAGCUCGUGUUGUGAAAUGUUGGGUUAAGUCCCGCAACGAGCGCAACCCUUAUCCUUUGUUGCCAGCGGUCCGGCCGGGAACUCAAAGGAGACUGCCAGUGAUAAACUGGAGGAAGGUGGGGAUGACGUCAAGUCAUCAUGGCCCUUACGACCAGGGCUACACACGUGCUACAAUGGCGCAUACAAAGAGAAGCGACCUCGCGAGAGCAAGCGGACCUCAUAAAGUGCGUCGUAGUCCGGAUUGGAGUCUGCAACUCGACUCCAUGAAGUCGGAAUCGCUAGUAAUCGUGGAUCAGAAUGCCACGGUGAAUACGUUCCCGGGCCUUGUACACACCGCCCGUCACACCAUGGGAGUGGGUU
rnacentral:rRNA from 1 species